rnacentral:rRNA from 1 species
CACAAGCGGUGGAUGAUGUGGAUUAAUUCGAUGCAACGCGAAGAACCUUACCUACCCUUGACAUGUCCGGAACUUGCCAGAGAUGGCUUGGUGCCCGAAAGGGAAUCGGAACACAGGUGCUGCAUGGCUGUCGUCAGCUCGUGUCGUGAGAUGUUGGGUUAAGUCCCGCAACGAGCGCAACCCUUAUCAUUAGUUGCUACGCAAGGGCACUCUAAUGAGACUGCCGGUGACAAACCGGAGGAAGGUGGGGAUGACGUCAAGUCCUCAUGGCCCUUAUGGGUAGGGCUUCACACGUCAUACAAUGGUCGGUACAGAGGGUUGCCAAGCCGCGAGGCGGAGCCAAUCCCACAAAGCCGAUCGUAGUCCGGAUUGUUCUCUGCAACUCGAGAGCAUGAAGUCGGAAUCGCUAGUAAUCGCAGGUCAGCAUACUGCGGUGAAUACGUUCCCGGGUCUU